UACAGAGGUGGCAAGUGUUGUUCGGAAUUACUGGGCGUAAAGGGCGCGUAGGCGGCCUUCUAAGUCAGACGUGAAAUCCCCCGGCUUAACCUGGGAACUGCGUCUGAUACUGGGAGGCUUGAGUAUGGGAGAGGGAUGUAGAAUUCCAGGUGUAGCGGUGAAAUGCGUAGAUAUCUGGAGGAAUACCGGUGGCGAAGGCGGCAUCCUGGACCAUAACUGACGCUGAGGCGCGAAAGCUAGGGGAGCAAACGGG
rnacentral:rRNA from 1 species